CACGGAGUUAGCCGGUGCUUAUUCUUUCGGUACCUUCAGCUCUCUACACGUAAAGAGGUUUAUCCCCGAAUAAAAGCAGUUUACAAUCCAUAGGACCGUCUUCCUGCACGCGGCAUGGCUGGUUCAGGCUUGCGCCCAUUGACCAAUAUUCCUCACUGCUGCCUCCCGUAGGAGUCUGGUCCGUGUCUCAGUACCAGUGUGGGGGAUCACCCUCUCAGGCCCCCUACCCAUCGUAGCCCUUGGUGUGCCGUUACCACACCAACUAGCUAAUGGGACGCAUGCCCAUCCUAUACCGUAACCUUUAAUAAUCUGAUGAUGCCACCAAUUACACCAUGGGGUGUUAGUCCGAAUUUCUCCGGGAUAUCCCCCAGUAUAGGGUAGGUUGCAUACGCGUUACGCACCCGUGCGCCGGUCGCCACCAAAAUAGCAAGCUAUUUCUAUGCUGCCCCUCGACUUGCAUGUGUUAGGCCUGCCGCUAGCGUUCAUCCUGACGCCAGGACUCGAAACUUCC
rnacentral:rRNA from 1 species